AUUGAACGCUGGCGGCAUGCCUUACACAUGCAAGUCGAACGGUAACAGGUCUUCGGAUGCUGACGAGUGGCGAACGGGUGAGUAAUACAUCGGAACGUGCCUAGUAGUGGGGGAUAACUACUCGAAAGAGUGGCUAAUACCGCAUGAGAUCUACGGAUGAAAGCAGGGGAUCGCAAGAACUUGUGCUACUAGAGCGGCCGAUGGCAGAUUAGGUAGUUGGUGGGAUAAAAGCUUACCAAGCCGACGAUCUGUAGCUGGUCUGAGAGGACGAUCAGCCACACUGGGACUGAGACACGGCCCAGACUCCUACGGGAGGCAGCAGUGGGGAAUUUUGGACAAUGGGCGCAAGCCUGAUCCAGCAAUGCCGCGUGCAGGAUGAAGGCCUUCGGGUUGUAAACUGCUUUUGUACGGAACGAGAAGCCCUGGGUUAAUACCCUGGGGUCAUGACGGUGCCGUAAGAAUAAGCACCGGCUAACUACGUGCCAGCAGCCGCCGCAGUAA
rnacentral:rRNA from 1 species